rnacentral:rRNA from 1 species
CGAGCGGACGAUUCAAAAACUUGCUUUUGGAUCGUUAGCGGCGGACGGGUGAGUAACCCGUGGGCAACCUGCCCUGUAGACGGGGAUAACACCGAGAAACCGGUGCUAAUACCGGAUAACACGGAAGACCGCAUGGUUUUUCGUUGAAAGGCGGCGCAACUGUCGCUACAGGAUGGGCCCGCGGCGCAUUAGCUAGUUGGUGAGGUAACGGCUCACCAAGGCGACGAUGCGUAGCCGACCUGAGAGGGUGAUCGGCCACACUGGGACUGAGACACGGCCCAGACUCCUACGGGAGGCAGCAGUAGGGAAUCUUCCGCAAUGGACGAAAGUCUGACGGAGCAAGCGCCCCGUGAGCGAAGAAGGCCUUCGGGUCGUAAAGCUCUGUUGUUAGGGAAGAACAAGUACCGCAGUAACUGGCGGUACCUUGACGGUACCUAACGAGAAAGCCACGGCUGACUACGUGCCAGCAGCCGCGGUAAUAAU